AGAGAGAGACAUGCGCGCAUAUCAAUAAGCGGAGGAAAAGAAACUAACAAGGAUUCCCCUAGUAACGGCGAGUGAAGCGGGAAGAGCUCAAAUUUGAAAUCUUAAAGGGUUUCCCUUUACGAAUUGUAGUUUAAAGAAGUGUUUUCUGUUGAGGUUUUGGUAAAAGUUCUUUGGAAUAGGACAUCAUAGAGGGUGAGAAUCCCGUAUUUGACCUUUACUUUCAACUUUGUGAUACACUUUCAAAGAGUCGGAUUGUUUGGGAAUGCAGUCCAAAAUGGGUGGUAAAUUUCAUCUAAAGCUAAAUAUUGGCGAGAGACCGAUAGCGAACAAGUACCGUGAGGGAAAGAUGAAAAGAACUUUGAAAAGAGAGUUAAACAGUACGUGAAAUUGUCAAAAGGGAAGCGUUUGACACCAGUGUUGUUUUUCUGAAAAUCAAUUAAAGAACUGUUUAUGCUAAGCUUGUUUAGACUUUAUCAGCUAUCUGUUUAGUUUUGAGCUUUUCUUUAAUGCACUUUUCAGUUAACAAGUCAACAUCAAUUUCUUUUGCUGUAAAAAAGCUUGAGGAAGGUGGCUUGAGAUUCGUCUUAAGUGUUUAUAGCCUCUUGCCUAUGCAGUCGGAGAGAUUGAGGUCUGCAGCGUAGAUCCUUCGGGGCUAAAUGCAUUUGUGCUAAGUUAUAGCAUUUUAUAGACAACUUGUUGACUAUGAUUUGUCUUGUAGCUUACUCGCUUAUGUUAUUUUACCUACGCUUAGGAUGUUGAGCGCAUGUCUCUCUCU
rnacentral:rRNA from 1 species